rnacentral:SRP_RNA from 2 species
GCACGGGAUAGGUGGGGAGCUAGACGUACCCUGUACCACAAAUCGACUUUAUGGUGGACCGAACGCCUUUGGGCGGCGAAAGCGGCCUUUUGGUUUCCAUACGCGGACAUUGAUGUCUCGCCCCCACAUGACUCGGGUGCCGAGAACUGUUCCCGGAGGGGAACAGCAAUUGGAUAACCGGGGGAACAGGUCAGGCCGGGAACGGAGCAGCCCUACCUGGGGCCAUGAGUGCUGUGGGGUCACGGGAUGGAGGAAGUGUGUGGGCUUGGCCAGAAGGAACGAGCGUCCACCUUAGGCCCUCCCACUU